CUCUAUUCUUUCCUCUUGGGCCAAGAUAGGGCUCAGAGAAAGAGAACUGCUAUUUUUAUAAAGUUUACAAUGUUUACAAAGUGUUUGACAUACAUUAUCCCAUAGGAUCUUCUCUAAAACCUCGUGAGAGGAGAAAAGGAAGAGUAAAUUCUACAGACAUUUUCCCCACAUUUGACAAGGAAGAAACGGAUCCAGAGAGAGACUGAGGGGUGUACCCACAGACCACAUAGCUAGUGAACCAUCUUUAUGAAGCUCCCCAACCUUUCCUGGUAUUAAGAUAAGAGGUCCUGUUUCUGUGGUGUAUCAUUCGUCUCUCCUGGCUGAUGAAGAUUUUGUCUAGAGAGCUUAGAUAUCAGCUCUGGGGCCAACCUUAUAUUCAAGUGAGGGGUGUGGUCAUCUCUGGAGGGCACAAAACUUGAAGGACACAAGAAAGUCCUAAUUCCCUAUGGAAACUCAAUGGUUCUACUAAAAUCCCAUCAUAUUUUAGAGGUUAGGAAUUUCAGAAGACUGCUAUUUCUGAAGGGAAUAAUAACUCGUAUGGAUCUGGCUUGCAAAACACUGAUGUUGAAGAAUGUCGCCCACCUCCUGAAAGAGAGUGAUGGAGGAAAUAUGCAGAACAAAGCAUACAUUUUUGGACAUAGCCAGUGUCCUUUUGUUUUGAUUGACUAUACAUAUUUAAAAUAUUUUUGUUCAAUGAGGAUGAAAUAAAAACUUCCAAGUGAAUUUUAUUAUCUUUUCUAGCUCAGUAAGAUAAUUUUUGGUAAUCUGUUUGGGAUGGCAUUGGAAAAGUCGAUUAGUUUAGGUAGGAUUGUCAUUUUAAUUAUAUUGACUCU
rnacentral:lncRNA from 1 species